rnacentral:misc_RNA from 1 species
GAUGAAGAACGUAGCGAAAUGCGAUAAGUAAUGUGAAUUGCAGAAUUCAGUGAAUCAUCGAAUCUUUGAACGCUCAUUGCGCCCCCUGGUAUUCCGGGGGGCAUGCCUGUCCGAGCGUCAUUACAACCCUCAAGCUCAGCUUGGUGUUGGGCCCCGCCGCCCCGGCGGGCCCUAAAGUCAGUGGCGGUGCCGUCCGGCUCCGAGCGUAGUAAUUCUUCUCGCUCUGGAGGUCCGGUCGUGUGCUCGCCAGCAACCCCCAAUUUUUUUCAGGUUGACCUCGGAUCAGGUAGGGAUACCCGCUGAACUUAAGCAUAUCAAUAAGCGGAGGA